GCUGGAGUAGCUCAGUUGGUAGAGCAUUCCCAUGGUAAGGGAAAGGUCACGGGUUCAAGCCCCGUCUCUAGCU
rnacentral:tRNA from 1 species